rnacentral:rRNA from 1 species
UACGUAGGGCGCAAGCGUUGUCCGGAAUUAUUGGGCGUAAGAGCUCGUAGGCGGUUUGUCGCGUCUGCUGUGAAAACCUAAGGCUCAACCUUGGGCUUGCAGUGGGUACGGGCAGACUAGAGUGCGGUAGGGGUGACUGGAAUUCCUGGUGUAGCGGUGGAAUGCGCAGAUAUCAGGAGGAACACCGAUGGCGAAGGCAGGUCACUGGGCCGCAACUGACGCUGGAGGAGCGGAAAAGCAUGGGGAGCGAACAGG